GGUCCUUCAGCUACAGGUCAUCAUCACCCAUGGAUGGGCUGCAUAUUUUUCUGGCUGUUCUAAUGGGUAACUUUUUUAUUUUUAUUUAUUUUGCUAUUUUUGUGUUCAGGUUUUGUUUUUGAAAGGUAUUUUGUACAUACAGAUUCAAUGUCGUUCAGCAGAGCAUUAACCAUUUUUUUUAACAACUGAAUUUAUAUGCUGUUUUUAGGAGUUGUUUCCUGCGGUCAUGAUUGGAUUUCCACAUCAGCAUUGGAUUUGACAGCCAGUCAGGGAGACAACAUCACUCUGUACUGUGACUGCAAACUGUCAACUGGCGUGUACAUCGCGUGGUACAGGAACUGCUCUCAUGAGAACCAGCCAACUCUUGUUCUAAAAACAAAAAUUGAAUAUAACCCUGGUCAGCAGAAUGCAUAUUCUCUGAACCCUUUGCCCCGUUUUACAUUUCUAAGGAACUUUUCUUCUGAGUCUUAUGACCUGCAGAUCAUCAAUGUCACUGAUUCUGACGAGGGCCUCUACUACUGUGGAACUCAACAGGUCAAGGUGGAAGAAAACGAAUUCGUCAGUCAAAUAAAUAUUAACACAUAUGGCAACAUCACAAGACUCAAACUCAAUAUGAUUUCAGAGUCACAACAAAGAAUUCCCAAAGAUGAUUGUGACAACAAAGUGUGCUGGAUCCUGCUGUCCUCUCUGUGUCCAGCCUCUGCUGUGCUCUCCUCUCUUCUCUCUGUCUUCAUUUAUCACCUCUGCCACAAAAAAGGUAACUGCUGCGUCUGAGACUUUAUACAUGAUCUAUU
rnacentral:lncRNA from 1 species